rnacentral:rRNA from 1 species
AGAGUUUGAUCCUGGCUCAGGGUGAACGCUGGCGGCGCGCUUAAUGCAUGCAAGUCGAACGUGCCUUCGGGCAAGUGGCAGACGGCUGAGUAACGCGUGAGUAACGCACCCUUCGGUGGGGUAUAGCCUCGGGAAACUGAGGGUAAUCCCGCAUACGAUCCUUCCCCCCUGGGGGAAGGAUGAAAGCCUUCGGGCGCCGGAGGAGCGGCUCGCGUCCUAUCAGGUAGUUGGUGAGGUAACGGCUCACCAAGCCAAUGACGGGUAGCUGGUCUCAGAGGACGAUCAGCCAGAGGGGAACUGAGACACGGUCCCCACUCCUACGGGAGGCAGCAGCAGGGAAUUUUGGGCAAUGGACGAAAGUCUGACCCAGCGACGUCGCGUGGGGGAUGAAGGCUCUAGGGCUGUAAACCCCUUUUCCGAGGGAAGAGGAAGGACGGUACCUCGGGAAUAAGCUCCGGCUAACUACGUGCCAGCAGCCGCGGUAAUACGUAGGGAGCGAGCGUUACCCGGAAUUACUGGGCGUAAAGAGCACGUAGGCGGCUGGAUAAGUCUUCUGUGAAAGCUCCCGGCUUAACUGGGAGAGGUCAGGGGAUACUAUUCGGCUUGAGGGCAGUAGAGGUAAGCGGAAUUCCCGGUGUAGCGGUGAAAU